rnacentral:lncRNA from 13 species
ACAUUUAUGCCAGGUAAGGUGCUGGAGACACUGAUAUACAUAAAUUAGAAGACAUAAUCGUGGCUCUCAGGAAAUUUAUAAUCUCUCGAGACACACACAAAUAAACUAUGAUAAAAGUAGAAUAGAGGAAUUGAAAAGUGAUAGGUGAACCUGGGUGCUGGAUGUUGUAUCAGCUUCAGAGAGGAGGUCAAUAGAAGAGGUGACAUUUGAGUUAGUUCUUGCGAGAUGAAGAGGAUUCUGUAAGGAAUGAAGAAAAGAGAUUAGAUACAAAGGGAACAGUGGGAGCAAAGAAAAAGCAAGAAUGUGCAUACCUGUUUGCAGAAUGUAAGUGAUGAUGGAAGCAUCAUGUUUAUUUGAGGAAAAAUGACAGAGUGUAAGUAAGGGUGAAAAGGUAGGUAGGAGUCCAAUUGUGAAUGGUGCUUGGAUUUUCUUCCUCUAGACAUGGAUGACCAUCACAGGCUCUUAAUUAAGAGAGUGAAGAUGAUGGGAUAUCUUGAUUUAGAAAGCUAAACAAGGAGAUCAGGCAAGAGGCUUUCUACAUUGGCCCGGGUCAGAAGUGCAAUUCUAUGCUGCAUUCUGAAAACUGGCUACAUUCUUAAGAGCUCAGAGGACUAAAAAUGCACAGAUUCAACACAAUCCAGAGUCACCAUUCUAUUAUACCUGGGAUGCAGAAAGCAUGUAGUCUAUUUCUGAUGGCAUGUGAGAUGGCUUAGAUCCUGCUUCAAGAUCUGGCAGCCCAGGUGGACCAGCAGCUGAGGGGAGAGGGAUCACCACUGCAAAAGCUUCACCAUCAGAGUGACAUAGGGAAGGAGGGUUUUUAACGGGAGCAUUCAAGCAAAAAGUAACAGUAAGUACUUUUUUCUUCACUGUAUACUACAUAUUGGUUAAAAACCUCCAAACUUUUGUCCCAGUUACCCAGAUUAGUGUUUUGGUCCUUCAAAUCUUAUGGUCUUAAGGGAGGUGUGUUCAUUAAAAGAGAGUGGUAUUGACUU